CAGGUGACAGGAGGGGAGCUACUUGCUGCGAAGAAAAGUGACUACCACCCCAACCCCUGAAUUAUCGAUAGUAAAAUAUAUCUGUAAGAAUAACAGGAGAUACUGUGAUAAACUUCUCGGACCUUUCUAUAUUUCUUCUGAUUCUGUUUCUUUUGAAGGCACAAAAGACUGAGUGAAGGGAAGACAGUUUGGCACUUCUCUAUUUUCAAUGACCUGCAGAGGCAAUUCAUCUGCAUUACAUAGUUUUGCUUGUUGUAGUGAUUGGAAAGCUGCACUGAUGAUAUGGACUAAUGGCAGUAAGAGAACCAAGCCAGCUCCAAGGAGAAAAGUUAAAGGGAAGGAGCUCUCACAUAAGAAUCUGAAGUGGGUCCUCAGCAGUCAACGGGCAAAAGAGCCAAUCUGGAGCAAGUCCAGGGAACAUGGAUCAGAGGGUGACUACAAAGGAGAGGGAUGUUCAGAAGGAAAAUAAAGGAAGAGGAAGAAUAAUGGAAGAAAGAAAAGGCAGAAGGUGGAAGACCAUGAGAUGUAGCUAAGAGGAAUAAAUAAGAGCUUGUUACUCAGCUCUGACAAAUCCUUCAGUUGAAUGCUGGUGGAAUUUUUUGAAAGCCUGGCAUUGCUGUAGGUUUUCAUGUCUGGUUUCACCAGGAUGGCCAGAUUAUGGAGCUAAUCACACAGCAAUCAUUAACCCUGAUUUUUUAUUUUUGUUUAUAAAUGUGGCCUUGUUUCAUUGU